rnacentral:lncRNA from 1 species
CAGAGACUCAACACGAUAAAUACAUCAUCCAGGAAGAGAAACUAGAGCUGCUCAUUGCUAAAACCAGAAGAGCAAGAUGUUGGAGAAUUAAUAUCUGCUAGAGAAAUAUGCAUCUCAGCCUGGACUAAUUGGUGCCUGGAACAUGAUGGUAGGUCUCCUACUCACAAAUUGGAUGGUGAUGGAAAGGCCAUCCUGAUGAGCCUUCCAAAAGUUUUGUCAGAAGACAGAGUGAUGUUGGAUAACACUACUGAGCCACAACUUCCAUCCACGCAAGACUUAAUAUAUUUCCUGGGACAAAAGUACCUAGGAAACCAAAAGCCUUUCACCUUAUCCCUUGAAGCUAAUUUCCCUUUGGCUGACACUGUGCAGCAAAGUGUAUUAAUAUCCAUGAUGGGUGAUCAGCCUUCAAUAAAUAAUGCUGGUUGUUCUAAUGUACCUGGCAUGAAAUAUUC